AUUUUAUUUAUUUCUGAUAAAUGGUAUGAUACAGUAAAAUUUGCUAUACCAAAUUUGGAAUGUAACCAAUUUCCUUUUCUGACUCGGUGCUCAAGUGUUUGAAAAAUACACAAAUUACCUGAAAGUAUGGUUAUGAUACCACUGCCAGUACGUGCAUUUUACUCCAUCUCCCCAAACACAUGGUUUGAAGUACAAGAUUAAUCUGUUUGGGUUACUCCACUUAUUAGAAAACAUUUUUUCUACCUUGCUUUCUUUCACAUUUGUAAGUGGUGCUCUUUUCUGAUUUAUGCACAAACCUGAAGUCCAAAUAUCUGUCUUUAGGAGUUCAACUGCCAACUAAAUCCAUCAUUGAUAAAAUUACAUUUUGCAAACUUACAUUCUUUAAAAACACACAUGCUGGACAAAGGCAACCAAACAGCUAAAACCAUACACACUGAACUGUACCUCGUAAUGUACAGCACUACAGACAGUUCCAAUUCUUAUGGUUAAAGCUUGGUUUAUUUAAACAUUUUUGGAUGAUUUUACAUGACGGCUUACUACACUUACAUCAGCCAACAGUAGAAUCAUUUUGUGCAGAAAACCUUAUGUAGACCAGUACACAUUUUUAUAAAUAGCUAAUUGGCCACUCACCCUGGCCUGUGGGCUGAAUAUCAAUCCCUUGCAUAAGUCAUGUGUGCCUCAGUUUUUGUCCUUUUUUACUUUUUCGUAUACAUAGUAUAGAGAAAGUGUAAGAAUCAUGAAAAAUUUUCACCUUGAGAUUUUGAUGAAUUUUGACGUUUUAGACUUUAAAUACAUAUUUGAAAUGGUCUGUCUGUGUGUAUAACUCAAACACUUUGACCUAGGUCAGUGAGAUUUUGUAUACCUGCUUUAUAUCAAAAGUAAGGAAUCCUAUCAACUUUUGUUUUUGUUUAAUUUAUACAUCAUCAGUUUAAACAUUGAACAUGCCUUGUAAAUAUAAAGAUGUAAUGGGAACAAUAAGCUGCCACAUCCCUGCCAUGUUCCUGGUAAUUCGGUUAGUUUUACGAUAUUUUUUUUUUUUAUUUCCACUAUCAUUAUCAUAAUUAAAUGUAGCUAAAUUCAGUUUUACCUGUCGCAGUUUAUUGCAACAAAUAUUAUAUAAUAGUAACACUUUUUCUAUGUUUUUAGGUGACUCUUUUUACUUUCCACGCAAUCUAGGUAAUGCAUAUGUAAUCAUGAAAAAAUUCCAUCACUGUUUUCAUCUUCCCCAAGUGCGAAAAUAUUUUAAUAUAUAGUUUGAUUAUAAAUAGAGAAAUGAUUAUGUAUCGAUUAGUUAUGAUGAGAAAUAAAGACAUAAGAUAAUUGAGAAAUAUUACGCAACUGAAAGUGGUUCUGGUGACCUUUUCCUCUGUCUCAGUAUACGAGAAAGUCGAGGGGAACAUGCUCCUGAUAAUUUUUUUUUUUGUCCCGUCAUUUUACAUCCUCCAGAACACCUUUGGUUGGUAUUCGUUUUAGUUGUAACAUAAACUUGUAAUUUGGUUGCAGUUGCAGCACAGUAGUGGUCACAUGUUAAUACAUAAAAUCCCAGUAUGGUUGCUGUUACAGUACACCACCAUCCUAUGUCUACAAAUAAUUAAAUCUUUGUUUUUCCCUGUAAGUUGCCCACACACACACAAUUUGUUGGUACCUACCUACCUGUUUUUUUUUUUUUUUCAUUUAACCUCUACAGUUCUUGUUAACACUAAAUGAGCAACACAUUAUUUAGGUAAAGCAAAAUGUGACUAAUAAAGUGCCCAGACAGAGUAUACACUGUUUAAAGAACUCAAACUAUAAAUUUCACUGUCCUUAUAGCCCAUCUGUUUGCUUUUUCAGUCUAUUUAUUAUGGUUCCCUAAAACAGUAUUCUUUGUGCUGCCUUUUAAGACAAUCAUAUUUAUACUGAAACCCAAAUGCUGGAUUUAUGACAUUAUAUGGGUAUAUUGCAUGCUUAAAAAGAAGUCUCUUUCAGUAGGUAGUUUCAAUGCUACAGUAUGUUUUAUGUGUUUUGAGAUUCUAAUUUUGUGAGUGAUUAGUCCUGGUGUGGGGGCAUGUUAAUUACAGAAGCCUGGCACUUGUAGUGCAAAAGAAAAAAAAAACUUCAAUUAUCUUUGCCUACAUCCAAUUUUUUUCUAUUGUAAAACUGUUGGUUUAUACCAUCUGGACCUGAAGAAACUUUUCCAUGUAAAUCUUUAUUCCAUAAACAGUAUUUUGAAGCUAGCUAUACUUCUGUGGAUUUUACCCAGUUUAUUGGCCCUAGUGUAUGCUUGGUGUGUGGGUGUGUUUGUGUGUGUCCUGCGGUGGGUUGGCACCCUGCCCGGGAUUGGUUCCUGCCUUGUGUCCUGUGUUGGCUGGGAUUGGCUCCAGCAGACCCCCGUGACCCUGUGUUCGGAUUCAGCAGGUUGGAAAAUGGAUGGAUGGAUGUUUGUCAAUGCUGUGUAUCUUCACAAAUACACAUUAAAGAAACAAUUUACCCCAAUUAAAGUUUUACAGUUCUUACCUUAAGGAAGAGUGAAAGUAAUCUUAUAGCUGGCAUGCUAAAUAUAAAAUAGAGUUCUUUGCACUGUGCCUUUGCAGCUAGUUAUUCAGUUAUGUGAACUCCAGUAACAUGGUAUGCUUGUAUAUCAAGGUCAAGCUUCAGUUUCUAAUUAUUUACCAUUUAUACGAACAUUUCAACUUCUAUCAAAAGUCAGGCUAAAAUAGCAUUUGUAAAUUGUGUUUGUAAUUUAAUGGUUCUUCUCCUAUAUACAUAUUCAGUAAUUAAA